rnacentral:sRNA from 1 species
UAAUUAGUAUCUCCUUUUUAGUUUUUACAAUACAAUCGGACCAAAUCAUUGUUAGAAUAUAAGAAAUAAACUCUUACAUAAAUAGGUACUAAGCAAAUGUUUCUAAGUGUACUUUGGCUAGAAGACAAGAUUUACCUUGACAAGUAUGUUGGAUCAGGCCCGACUCUACACAUGUGCUGGAGGAGCUGAGGCACAGGGUCCACCCAAAAUUUCUCUUUUUUUUAAAGUAAAUCUAGUACAAUUACGAUCCAAAAAAAAAUUUACAUAACAAAACACAGAUAUGUGAACUAAUUUUUUUUCCAGCUCUGGGUCCUUUAUUAUUUUGAGCCGACCAUGUGUUGAAUAGACAAUAAUUAUGCAUCAUAAUACAACUCAAUGUGAAACACACGAUCUUCGAAUUUGCUGAAAAUAUGAAAAUAUGAUGAAAGUUAUUUCCCCAACAAACACAUUUGCCCAGUAAACCUUGUUUUCAUAU